ensembl:lncRNA
GGAGAUUAUGUCAAUGGACAUAUCCCAAACCAGACCACGGACCCUACAGCACAACAGACAGCAGAGACAACAGACAACGAGGAGGAGGGAGAUUAUGUCAAUGCAAACAUCACAAACCAGACCAUGGACCCUACCGCACAACAGACAGCAGAGACAACAGAGGAUGAGGAAGAAGAGUAUGUGUAUGAAAACGACUCCAACAUGGCCCCUUCUGCAAAAGACAACAUUACAUAAAUACAGCAAGACCUGAAUGAAGAACCACCUGAACACAACAUAACAUAAAUACAGCAAGACCAGAAUGAAGAACCACCUGAACACAACAAAACCUGAACUCAACAAGACACUGCUUGUGCGUGUGUAGUGCUGUG